AUUGAACGCUGGCGGCAUGCUUUACACAUGCAAGUCGAACGGUAACAGGCCUUCGGGUGCUGACGAGUGGCGAACGGGUGAGUAAUGCAUCGGAACGUACCCAGAGGUGGGGGAUAACGCAGCGAAAGCUGUGCUAAUACCGCAUGUGAUCUGAGGUUGAAAGCGGGGGACCGAGCAGCAAUGUUUGGCCUCGCGCCUUUGGAGCGGCCGAUGUCGGAUUAGCUAGUUGGUGGGGUAAAGGCCUACCAAGGCGACGAUCCGUAGCUGGUCUGAGAGGACGACCAGCCACACUGGGACUGAGACACGGCCCAGACUCCUACGGGAGGCAGCAGUGGGGAAUUUUGGACAAAGGGCGCAAGCCUGAUCCAGCAAUGCCGCGUGCGGGAAGAAGGCCUUCGGGUUGUAAAGCGCUUUUGGCAGGAACGAAACGGUGUCCGCUAAUACCGGGCGCUAAUGACGGUACCUGCAGAAUAAGCACCGGCUAACUACGUG
rnacentral:rRNA from 1 species